rnacentral:rRNA from 1 species
AUUGAACGCUGGCGGCAUGCCUUACACAUGCAAGUCGAACGGCAGCACGGGUGCUUGCACCUGGUGGCGAGUGGCGAACGGGUGAGUAAUACAUCGGAACGUACCUUAUCGUGGGGGAUAACGCAGCGAUAGCUGUGCUAAUACCGCAUACGCCCUGAGGGGGAAAGCGGGGGAUCGAAAGACCUCGCGCGAUUAGAGCGGCCGAUGCCUGAUUAGCUUGUUGGUGGGGUAAAAGCCCACCAAGGCGACGAUCAGUAGCUGGUCUGAGAGGACGAUCAGCAACACGGGGACUGAGACACGGCCCAGACCCCUACGGGAGGCAGCAGUGGGGAAUUUUGGACAAUGGGGGCAACCCUGAUCGAGCAAUGCCGCGUGAGUGAAGAAGGCCUUCGGGUUGUAAAGCUCUUUGUCAGGGAAGAAACACCGGGUCUAACACAGUCCGGGAAUGACGGUACCUGAAGAAUAAGCACCGGCUAACUACGUGCCAGCCGCCGCCGUAA